rnacentral:lncRNA from 1 species
CGGCCAGCAGGCGGGGCCUCUACAAGGCUCUUUACAACCUGCUCAUAUUCGUGUCUUUGCUCCCAUCUCAGCUCCUGCGCCCCCUUGUGCGAAGGAGACCCUUCUCCUUUUCCCUUCAAGCUCCAUUUCUUGUUUGCACUUAAAGUGGCAUUCUUGAUUGUUGUAUGUUUUAUUGUUUCAUAUGUUGUAGCUUAGUUCAUACCCCCAAAACUAAAAUGUCAGCUAGAAGAGAGGAAGGGCCUUGGUCUGCCUUGUACCCCGCCAUCCAUACCGCUCCCCGACCAGUGUCUUAAAAAAGGGGGGCGGGGGGGGGGGGAAAUCUCUACCAGCUGAGCUGCCUCAAUCCUUUUUAUUUUUUAUUUCAGACAGUAGCUCUCCAAGUUGCCCCGACUGGCCUCCAAUUUACAGUCCUCCUGCCUCACUCUCCCAAGUCGCUGAGAUUACAGGCAUGAGCCACCAGGGUUGGCUAGAGCAUUCAGUGACUCUUAUGCAGUCAGUAAGUGUGAAUGAAGGAAGAAGACACUCAGCCUCACACACUGCUUAUGGACAGAGCAGAAAGCUGGACUCUGAGCAAGUAGGGCGAGGCUCACCUGGAGGGUGAGACCUAUACAAUGUAGGCACUGGUUAUUCAGAAAGGCUCCUCAGACAGGUGGGAUUAGGCAAGACCCUUAAUAAUAGGUGAGGUUUGAGGGGGAAGAGAGCUUUCCAGAGGGGAGCAAUGGGGGAACAGGCAGAGUUGUGGAAGGGGCAUGGAAUGUUGAGACCGCCAAGGGGCCCUUUGGAACUGACAUUGGGGAAGGAGGUGGUUAGAAGAUGGUUGGUGUGAUUGCAGAGAACCCUAAACACCUGUGUUGUGAGGGACCCUUGCCUCUGAGGAAGUUUUUUUGUUUUUGUUUUUGUUUUGGGGCGGGGGGUGCUAUGGAUUCAACUCUUGGGCACUUCACCAUUGAGCCACAUCCCUAGCCCUAUUUUCACUGAGUUGCUUAGCGUCUCACUUUUGCUGAGGCUGGCUUUGAACUGAGCCGCUGGUAUUACAGGUGUGUGCCACAGCAGCCAACUUAAGGAGAUUCUUGAGCAUAGUUCUUGAAAAUAGUAAAGUGGUAUUCUUGUUGGUAAACACUGAUUUAAAAUAACACACUAAGGUUGGGGUUGUAGCUCAGUGGUAGAGCACUUGCCUAGCACAUGUGAGGCACUGGGUUCGACCUUCAGCACCACAUAAAAACAAAUAAAGGUAUUUCAUCCAUCUACAACUAGAAAAACAAACAAACAAAAAAAAAUAAAACAACACACUAAAUGGGAAAGGAUAUAAACACACUGUUAAUAGAAAAGUAAUUCAAGUAACACAUUUAAGCAAAUAUGAAAAAAAUGCUUGACCAUCUCAGUAAGAAAAAUGCAAAUAAAAAUUAAAGUGGAAUUCUAUUUUUUAAACGUCAUGUUGGAAAUGAUACAUGUUGUGGAAAAAGACAUUCUUGUUCAUUGGUGGGGGUAAUAUAAAAUGAUUCAUUCUCUAGAAGGGAAAUUGCAUGGAAAUGGAAGGAGACCCUCAUCGUUAUAGAAAUUACAUAUAAGAGGAAGUGAGGGGAAAGGGAAAAAAAAACAAGGGAGAGAAAUGAAUUACAGUAGAUGGGGUAGAGAGAGAAGAUGGGAGGGGAGAGGAGGAGGGAUAGUAGAGGAUAGGAAAGGCAGCAGAAUACAACAGACACUAGUAUGGCAGUAUGUAAAAACGUUGGAUGUGUAACCGAUGUGAUUCUGCAAUCUGUAUACCGGAAAAAAUGUGAGUUCAUAACCCACUUGAAUCAAAUGUGUGAAAUAUGAUAUGUCAAGAGCUAUGUAAUGUUUUGAACAACUAAUAAUAAAAAAAAGAUUCAUUCUCAUUGUAAGCAAUUUGGCAAUUUAAGCUAUUAGAACUUAAAUGUUUAUAUCUUUGACCUAACAAUUCCA